GAUGAACGCUGGCGGCGUGCCUCAAACAUGCAAGUCGAGCGGGGCUAUGUAAUAUCGCAAGGUAGAACAUAGCCUAGCGGCGAACGGGUGAGUAACACGUGGGUAACCUGCCUGGAAGACAGGGAUAACGAUUCGAAAGGGUCGCUAAUACCUGAUAAUAUCCUUUCAUCGCAUGGUGAUAGGAAGAAAGGGGAAACCCGCUUUCAGAUGGGCCCGCGUCCCAUCAGCUAGUUGGUAAGGUAAAGGCUUACCAAGGCGACGACGGGUAGCCGGUCUGAGAGGAUGUACGGCCACACUGGGACUGAGAUACGGCCCAGACUCCUACGGGAGGCAGCAGUUGGGAAUCUUAGGCAAUGGACGAAAGUCUGACCUAGCGACGCCGCGUGAGGGAAGAAGGCCUUCGGGUUGUAAACCUCUGUCAUGGGGGAAGAAGUAAGUGACGGUACCCAAGGAGGAAGCCCCGGCUAACUACGUG
rnacentral:rRNA from 1 species